UACAUCACUCCUUCUGCACGUAAUUUUUGACGCACGUUUUCUUCUGCGUCAGUAAGAACGUCAGUGUUUCCUGCGCGUACACGCAAGGUAAACGCGAACAAUUCAGCGGCUUUAACCGGACGCUCGACGCCAUUAAUAAUGUUUUCCGUAAAUUCAGCGCCUUCCAUGAUGAGACAGGCCGUUUGAAUGUUGAC
rnacentral:rRNA from 1 species